AAUUUGUGAGGCCUUUGGAGCAAACCGUUAUCCUUUCGCUGAGGACCUUAGCAAACAAAUAUCAGAUGAUGACAGAGGUGUCUGCAAGACUUACAGAGCUGAAGACUACCAUGGAUGUUGGAUUGGCUCACCAGAGCAAUUUGUUGCAUACAAUUGGAUUUCAGUUUGAGCAAUGGAAUCUUCUGUUUCGCUUGAGUCAUUCUGUUUAAUACUUUGAGUCUUCAAGUUACCACAAAAUGCAAAAGUAUUUGUAUGUGUUAGGAUGGGAUUAGUCAAUGUUGAGUUAUGUUUUAGGUAUUCUGUUGAAUUAAAUGUUUUCUAUGUUGAAAUUUUUUGAGCUAACAAACUUUGCUUUCUAUAACUUACAUAGGUGAAGAAGGAAAAAUAUAUUUACCGCACUAUAAAUAUGCUUAGCAUAAAUGUGACUAAGAAAUGUCCUGUUGCUGAAGCUUGGUGUCCUGUUUUUGCAAUAGAUCAGAUUCAAAAUGGGUUGCGACAGGCAUCUGUAGACAGCAACUCACAUAUUGGAGCAAUAUUCCAGGUUUUACACACAAAGGAAUCGCCACCUACCUAUUUUUGCACAAACAAAUUCACUUCAGCCUUUCAAGAAAUUGUAGAUGCAUAUGGGCAAGUUAUUUAUAUCAUGUAACUAAUACAUUGACUUCCUAAUUGCUGGAUGUAAUUUUUGGUAGGAAAAAUCAUGGUUCUAACAAUAAUAUGAUGAUGCGUACAGUAUAUCUCCUAAAAGAAAUUUUUGGAUACAUUGGCAUCAUGUAGUGUGACAGCUAUAUAUUGGGCAUUGUCAGAGUUUACAUUUUCUUUUAGUUAUGGAUAUUUUGUUGCUUGGUAUUAGUAAAGAUAGAAAGUAGGAAUCAUGGUAUUUGGGAGAAAGAAACUAGAAAAGACAUCUGUAUGACUGGCCUACACUCUCUGAAUGGGAAGAUGCUAUGAUGGUUGUUUACUUGGUCUAUUGAUACUAAGACUACAAUGGCUUCUUAGUGUAAAGUUAGCCACAACAAAAAUGCGUUGAAUUGAAUCUGAAUUUGCAUUAUUCUUUCCAAUCAAUUUCAUUGUUUUGUUGGUCAAACUGUCCAUAUAGGUUCUUAAACUUGAUUUGAGAUUGGUUGUCCAUGUCUUGAACUCUUGACUAUAAUGAGCAUAAUGAAAGACUUAAGUUGAAAUUGGAGUUUUCUUCUGCUCCACAAGUUGUAUUGCAAACAUCAUGCUUGACUAGUUUACUUGUCAGUUACUGAAAAUUAUCUUCCAAGGAUGUUAACCAACAAAUUUGCUGUUCCAGGAUUGCCAAAUACCAGGAAGCAAAUCCCAGUUUGUAUACAAUUAUCACAUUCCCUUUCCUUUUUGCUGUGAUGUUCAGCGAUUGGGGCCAUGGUAUUUGCUUGCUGCUGGCAACACUGUAUUUCAUUAUCAGGGAAGGAAGUUGUCCAGCCAGGUAACUGUUGUUUAGUUUGUAGGUUGGUUAUAAAAAUGUUUUUCUCUAAAUAGAUGCAUGCUUCAGCUCACUUAUUUUUUAAACAGAAACUUGGAGCCAUCAUGGAAAUGACUUUGAGUGGCCGUUAUGUUAUUAUGAUGAUGGCAAUUUUUUCAAUUUACACUGGAUUGAUAUACAACGAAUUCUUUUCAGUACCAUUUGAACUAUUUGGUCCCUCUGCCUAUGCUUGUGGUGGCCUAUCAUGCAGAGAUGCUUCUACUGCUAGUCUAACUAAAGUGGCACAGUACUCCGAGGAGUUACCUUUUCUUAACUCAUUAAAGAUGAAGAUGUCAAUUCCGUUAGGAGUGGCCCAAAUGAAUCUUGGGGAUGUG